AGACUUCCGGUUCAGUGCCCCUAAAGCCAACAAACCGGAACUCUUUAGAGAAGUGUUCCGGUAUACAUUUCAUGAACCGGAAGACUUACUCUGAGUGUUCCGGUUUACAAUGCAAAAAAGUCAAAAAUUUCUCUUCUCCGGAACUCUUGAACGAAAAUGGUAAAAAAAACAUUGAAAUGGAAAAUAUACCCUAUUUAUAUGAGGGUAUUUUGAUAAAAAAAAAUUAGAUGUAGGGAU
rnacentral:lncRNA from 1 species